rnacentral:rRNA from 1 species
ACGAACGCUGGCGGCGUGCUUAACACAUGCAAGUCGAACGGAAAGGCCCUGCUUGCAGGGUACUCGAGUGGCGAACGGGUGAGUAACACGUGGGUGAUCUGCCCUGCACUUCGGGAUAAGCCUGGGAAACUGGGUCUAAUACCGGAUAGGAGCCAUUUUUAGUGUGAUGGUUGGAAAGUUUUUUCGGUGUAGGAUGAGCUCGCGGCCUAUCAGCUUGUUGGUGGGGUAAUGGCCUACCAAGGCGGCGACGGGUAGCCGGCCUGAGAGGGUGGACGGCCACAUUGGGACUGAGAUACGGCCCAGACUCCUACGGGAGGCAGCAGUGGGAAAUAUUGCACAAUGGGCGCAAGCCUGAUGCAGCGACGCCGCGUGGGGGAUGACGGCCUUCGGGUUGUAAACUCCUUUCGCUAGGGACGAAGCUUUUUGUGACGGUACCUAGAGAAGAAGCACCGGCUAACUACGUG